UCUGAUCUUAGAUUUGACGCACUUGCGCUUCCGGGAUUUUCCCGGGAGCAUGCUUGUCUGAGUGUCAGCGAAACCCACUCAGCGUUGAUGAGCUCCUCCGUGGACUUGUUGGCUGCUNGACUGUGGCAGUGCCGAUGUGGCUCUGUUCAAGUAGACGUUGUGGUCGUUGUCGAAUUCGUUGGACAAUGACGUACGGCGGACGUACCGUUUGGCCGGAUCUUGCACCGUGGCAUUCGCCUUGGUGGGUUCCCGUCUAGCUCGACUGUCGAGUGACGCGGUUUCCGUCUCCAGUAGGUAGGCAGUUGGGGAAUGGUGACUUUCGGGUCGCAAUUUUCUGGCUCUUCACCCAUGGGGACAAUCAGGAAACAAUGUCUUGAGCUCGGCGACAGUGGCCGGAUAGGAGCCUCGCCGUGAACAGAGGAUGUUUGCGAGCAGUGUGGUCCACACAACACGGUCGGUGAGCUGCCUUUGUACCGCAAGAGCAGCACAUACCUUCGUUCCUGAUCUCAGCUCAAGCAAGAAGACCCGCUGAAUUUAAGCAUAUAACUAAGCGGAGGAAAAGAAACUAACCAGGAUUCCCUCAGUAAGGGCGACUGAAGCGGGAAUAGCUCAAGAUGUGAAUCUGUGCUUCGGCACCGAAUUGUGGUCUAUAGGCGCAUGCGUUACCGGGCCGGGCCAAGUCCCUUGGAACAGGGCGGCUGAGAGGGUGAGACCCCCGUUCGCCUGGCUCUUGGAGCGUUCGUCGACGAGUCGAGUUGUUUGGGAUUGCAGCUCAAAGUGGGUGGUAAAUUCCAUCUAAGCUAAAUACUGGUGGGAGACCGAUAGCGUACAAGUACCGUG
rnacentral:rRNA from 1 species